rnacentral:rRNA from 1 species
AUUGAACGCUGGCGGCAUGCCUUACACAUGCAAGUCGAACGGCAGCGGGGGAGAAGCUUGCUUUUCCUGCCGGCGAGUGGCGAACGGGUGAGUAAUAUAUCGGAACGUGCCCAGUCGUGGGGGAUAACGUAGCGAAAGCUACGCUAAUACCGCAUACGAUCUACGGAUGAAAGCGGGGGAUCGCAAGACCGCGCGCGAGUGGAGCGGCCGAUAUCAGAUUAGGUUGUUGGUGAGGUAAAAGCUUACCAAGCCUGCGAUCUGUCGCUGGUCUGAGAGGACGACCAGCCACAAUGGAACUGAGACACGGUCCAGACUCAUACGGGAGGCAGCAGUGGGGAAUUUUGGACAAUGGGCGAAAGCCUGAUCCAGCCAUUCCGCGUGCAGGAUGAAGGCCCUCGGGUUGUAAACUGCUUUUGUACAGAACGAAAAGGUUUCUACUAAUACUAGGAGCUCAUGACGGUACUGUAAGAAUAAGCACCGGCUAACUACGUGCCAGCCGCCGCGGUAA